rnacentral:rRNA from 1 species
AAGCGUUCAUGACCAGACUUGGGCAGGUUGAUCAUCUGGGGUUCUCCCCAGUGCACUUUUCCAGUCCAGGCCAGCAUCAGUUUUCCCCGGGGGAUAAAGGCUUUGGGAAUGUGGCUCCCUCGGGAGUGUUAUAGCCCACUGCGUAAUACCCUGGGGUGGACUGAGGUUCGCGCUCUGCAAGGAUGCUGGCGUAAUGGUCAUCA